GUGCUUGCUCUGGCAGCACAUAUAUGGAAGUGAAGGAUGCAGAGAUUAGCAUGACCCCUGCACAAGGAUGACAUGCAAAUUCGCGAAGCGUUCCAUAUUUUU